rnacentral:lncRNA from 1 species
AAAAUUCUUAACGAUAUUUGUAACUAUCGAUAAUCUACUGUCACUUUAAAACAUCAUCUCAUGGUUGGAAUAUCUGCCGAUGGACAGUUUGUUCCUCGAGGAUUUACUGAUUGACAACUUCUAGAAGAUUAACCAGCCAGGUCAAUAAUAUGCAUUUCAACUAUUAGAAAACGAACCGAUAAACUAUAUAAAAUGGAGAAAAAUUAAUGAUUGUUGUCAAGGACAACUCCGAACGAGAGAGAAAGAUGACCCAAUGAUUGGUUUAAAAAAUUGUUACGAAAACAAACUUGUCGAUUUAUCGAAUUUAUCUUCGUACAAAUGUAGUCCAAAAAAUCACACUAAUUCAUGUAUAGUUAUCCAAGUCAGAUAAAAUAAAGCCAUACAUUUUCUAGUCGUUUAAUCUGUACAUACAUUUGAAUGUAUUUAGCUUCAGUACUAAUGUUUGAAAUAAUGAAUGAAACAGCUGUU